rnacentral:rRNA from 1 species
UGGGGAAUAUUGGACAAUGGGGGCAACCCUGAUCCAGCCAUGCCGCGUGUGUGAAGAAGGCCUUCGGGUUGUAAAGCACUUUAAGUGGGGAGGAAGGGGUGAUUACUAAUAUUAAUCAUCAUUGACGCUACCCACAGAAUAAGCACCGGCUAACUCUGUGCCAGCAGCCGCGGUAAUACAGAGGGUGCAAGCGUUAAUCGGAAUUACUGGGCGUAAAGCGCGCGUAGGCGGCUGAUUAAGUCGGAUGUGAAAGCCCUGGGCUCAACCUAGGAACUGCAUUCGAUACUGAUCGGCUAGAGUAUGAGAGAGGGAGGUAGAAUUCCACGUGUAGCGGUGAAAUGCGUAGAUAUGUGGAGGAAUACCGGUGGCGAAGGCGGCCUCCUGGCUUAAUACUGACGCUGAGGUGCGAAAGCGUGGGGAGCAAACAGG